UACGAAGGGGGCUAGCGUUGCUCGGAAUCACUGGGCGUAAAGGGUGCGUAGGCGGGUCUUUAAGUCAGGGGUGAAAUCCUGGAGCUCAACUCCAGAACUGCCCUUGAUACUGAAGGUCUUGAGUUCGGGAGAGGUGAGUGGAACUGCGAGUGUAGAGGUGAAAUUCAUAGAUAUUCGCAAGAACACCAGUGGCGAAGGCGGCUCACUGGCCCGAUACUGACGCUGAUGCACGAAAGCGUGGGGAGCAAACAGG
rnacentral:rRNA from 1 species